AGAGUUUGAUCAUGGCUCAGAUUGAACGCUGGCGGCAGGCCUAACACAUGCAAGUCGAGCGGAAACGGCAGCAUUGAAGCUUCGGUGGAUUUGCUGGACGUCGAGCGGCGGACGGGUGAGUAACGGCUGGGAACCUGCCCUGACGAGGGGGAUAACCGUUGGAAACGACGGCUAAUACCGCAUAAUGUCUWCGGACCAAAGGUGGCCUCUACAUGUAAGCUAUCGCGUUGGGAUGGGCCCAGUUAGGAUUAGCUAGUUGGUAAGGUAAUGGCUUACCAAGGCGACGAUCCUUAGCUGGUUUGAGAGGAUGAUCAGCCACACUGGGACUGAGACACGGCCCAGACUCCUACGGGAGGCAGCAGUGGGGAAUAUUGCACAAUGGGGGAGACCCUGAUGCAGCCAUGCCGCGUGUGUGAAGAAGGCCUUCGGGUUGUAAAGCACUUUCAGCAGUGAGGAAGGUGGUGUACUUAAUACGUGCAUUGCUUGACGUUAGCUGCAGAAGAAGCACCGGCUAACUCCGUGCCAGCAGCCGCGGUAAUACGGAGGGUGCGAGCGUUAAUCGGAAUUACUGGGCGUAAAGCGCAUGCAGGCGGUUUGUUAAGUCAGAUGUGAAAGCCCGGGGCUCAACCUCGGAACCGCAUUUGAAACUGGCAGGCUAGAGUCUUGUAGAGGGGGGUAGAAUUUCAGGUGUAGCGGUGAAAUGCGUAGAGAUCUGAAGGAAUACCAGUGGCGAAGGCGGCCCCCUGGACAAAGACUGACGCUCAGAUGCGAAAGCGUGGGUAGCAAACAGGAUUAGAUACCCUGGUAGUCCACGCCGUAAACGCUGUCUACUUGGAGGUUGAGGUUUAAGACUUUGGCUUUCGGCGCUAACGCAUUAAGUAGACCGCCUGGGGAGUACGGCCGCAAGGUUAAAACUCAAAUGAAUUGACGGGGGCCCGCACAAGCGGUGGAGCAUGUGGUUUAAUUCGAUGCAACGCGAAGAACCUUACCUACUCUUGACAUCCAG
rnacentral:rRNA from 1 species